CUUAUUUCUCUGCAAAAAGACGGUGGCGGUAAUGAGCAACAAUGACACCAGAGGCUCUCUAAAGACGUUUACUAUUAUUGUUACUCACUUUCACUAGCAUGAAGGUGUAAUUUUGGGGUAAUGAAUCACGUGACUGAGACAAGCGCUUGACAUGUGUCAAGAGACUGUGAUGAUUUUGGUUCCUGUGGUAUGUUUUUGUGUUUGCUCUCUCUCCCUCCCCUCUUUUCUGUUCUGCAGUGCAUGUGUGUGUCAGGGGGUGUGGCUGGCUUCUCCUGCAGCAGCAGAUGAGGCACACCUGUCUUCACUCACCUCAUCUUCCUGUCUACAAAAGCCUGGUCUUCACUCCACUAUGCUGCCAGAUAAUUCCGUCAUGUUCGGUCGUCCUUUGUGCCUCACCGUGUGCCUGAGUUUUUUCAAUCCAUCCUUCGGUGAAUAUUGUACGAGCCAGCCAGCUCCCUGCCUCCACUGCCUGCUCUUUUGUUUUUUCGUGUUAUUAAUAAACCUUUUUCUGUUACUUACCUGCAUCAGUAUCUGCUUUGGGGUCCAAACAAAACCGGAACAGAGACAGGUGUAAUUGGGAGAGUGUCCGGUAAUUUUUCAAAAUAAAACAUCUUUCAGACUGAUAAUAACAUGGCAAUAAUAUUAGUUACUUACGUGCGGCCCGGUGUCCUAAGUGACCACAACUGACAAUAUAAUUUGUGCCCAUUUCCACUAGCACCUCUCCUCCAUGUAGCCUACACUAUUUGUAUAACUUGAUUAAUCCAAGAAAUCCUGAUCAUUGUUGCUAAGACUGAUAAAGCGAAGCUUGCGGAGCUAGGUCAGGUAGACAAUUUGAGCUGCGCCAAGUCCUCAUCAGCUGAUCAGCCACACGCUCUCCUCAUCAUCCGAUUGUGCCGGGGUAUUUAAACCCCCCUGCUUACCUGAUCAUUGCGAGGAAGAUGAUCAUUCCUGGCUACUCUGCUGCUGUUGUGUGCUGCCUAUGAAGAUUUUCAAUCCCACCACCUCCCCAGCAUCCACCUGGGGCUCUGUUUCUAUGAUCACCAGCAGGGGCCACAAAACUUGCUUCAGUCAUGAUAAAAUUAUUGCUGUAUACAAAAUAAUUAUGCACAAUAAAGAUAUUGAUUUCAA